GUGGGGAAUAUUGGACAAUGGGGGGAACCCUGAUCCAGCCAUGCCGCGUGUGUGAAGAAGGUCGUAAGACUGUAAAGCACUUUAAGCGAGGAGGAGGGUAGUCAUGCUAAUAUCAUGAACUAUCGGACGCUACUCGCAGAAUAAGCACCGGCUAACUCUGUGCCAGCAGCCGCGGUAAUACAGAGGGUGCGAGCGUUAAUCGGAAUUACUGGGCGUAAAGCGCGCGUAGGUGGCAAAUUAAGUCGGAUGUGAAAUCCCCGAGCUCAACUUGGGAAUUGCAUCCGAUACUGGUUAGCUAGAGUAUGAGAGAGGAAGGUAGAAUUCCAGGUGUAGCGGUGAAAUGCGUAGAGAUCUGGAGGAAUACCGAUGGCGAAGGCAGCCUUCUGGCUUAAUACUGACGCUGAGGUGCGAAAGCAUGGGGAGCAAACAGGAUUAGAAACCCUAGUAGUCC
rnacentral:rRNA from 1 species